rnacentral:piRNA from 1 species
UUAAAUGCUGAUUGACGGACCUCAUUUC